AUCCUCUCCUUGUCCUCUCUCUUUAACAUGCAAGGGUUGGGCAUCCCACUUUUCCACAUGCCCAAGUGUUGGAUGAUCUUUUCAACAUCAAGGAAAAAGGAGAUAGACUACAGUUAAAAUGUUGACAUCGCAGACAAAAAUCAAUGAUUGAUCAAAGAUCCAAAAAGCUGAGAUUCAUCUUAGAGAAGAUAGAUCAAGAAUGAAAAAAAAGAUUCAAGCUUGAUCC
rnacentral:lncRNA from 1 species